UCAGGGGGCAUCACUGGUGUCCUGGUUAGCAAACCCACUGAGAAAAUGCUGACUGCAGGGCACAGGUGUCCCAGACAGAAGAUCUGUCCCUCACUGAUGGGCCAAGGGAGCUUGGGGGGCAGCUGGUCAGUCUCUGGUGGAAAAGGAGGAGGUUCCCACAAGGAUGCAUACUCCUCCCCAAUGGUUCUACAAAUCCUGCUGUGCACCCCACCCAAAGCCCCACUGAGGAGGGUCAUUGCUGAUGAGGUGGGGCAAGGUUCCACCUCCUUUGCUCCUGAGCACUUUCUGCUGCUGGCUUUGCCUCUCUACCUGCUGUUUAUAAAUGUUUUACAGAAUCUACUUCCUUGAAACCAAAGUGAAGCAACAGCUGUGCAUGCAUCAAGUUGCAACAUCUCCUUGCUGGAUGGAGGCACAUCUUGUCACAAGUGGCGCUGGUAGCAAAAACUCAGUGAAAGAACCUGCCUGGCUGGGAGCUCCUCACUCCUCUGGGGUGAGCUGGAAACACAAUUUCACUUGGUUUCUUUGAAGAAAGAGCUGAACUCCACCCAAGGUCAAUGAACUGAAGCUUCAGUAAACCUAGACCUGAAUUUGUGAGUAUUUGGGACAAUAGGACCCUGUCUGCAGUGCUACAGCCAGAUGUGUCUUGGGAUGCAGUCAAAUUCGAGAUCUUUUCAGCUGAAAGCUAGAUGAGCGAGGAACAGGCAUUUUCACACAGCUGAGAGUUACCUCAAGAAGAAGCUUUGAAUGCGAUGCCAGCACAACAGCAGUGAGAGAAAAUAAGACAAGUACCUCCAUGAUGCAAUAAAUACUACUGUUAUUUCCUAUUGUUCAUCUGAAUCUCCACCCCUGAGAACUUGAGUUAAAUCCUAAAUUUUCCGUUUAUUUUUAGGCAGAAUAUCCACGAAGUUAAAAAACAGCGUCACAAGGAGGUCCUAAGAUGGGGCUUGCUCCAGUUUUCCUGCUGAGCAUGUGUUUAGGAAUUGCUGCUAAAAAAAAGUCAGAGAGGAUGGUAGCUGCUGUGCUGUCACAUGGCCUGAUACAGUGCAGAAUAUGCUUAGCAUUCUUGAAGGGAAAUUACCCAGUGCUGCAACUCACAAUUUAUAAUUGGUUGCGUAUUAAUAGCUAAAAAAGGCAAUAAAAUCCACUGUGUGUUUAAAAAAAAAUAGUAAGUAGGAGUAUUACAAGCUGAGCAGUGAAAAUCUGGAAGACUUCUUGGCUAGAGCAGGGCUGUGUGCAGUGUUGUUUCUCCAGUAUUAAUUACAAGCAAUUUUAAAUCAUCUCCUUCCUUCAAGGAAGGAUUUUGUUCAGUGUUUUUGUUAAUUUUAAUCUUGCUAACGUGAUACUCUCUUGAAACCUCUCCCUUGUGUCAUAACAGUGAGACAUGCUGCCUCUUUUGUCCCUGCCCUUUGGGGAGCAGAGUUACUGCUGCUUGUUGCCUAACCCUGCUGUCGUGACUAUCAGUACAC